rnacentral:rRNA from 1 species
GCGACCCCAGGUCAGGCGGGAUCACCCGCUGAGUUUAAGCAUAUCAAUAAGCGGAGGAGAAGAAACUUACAAGGAUUCCCCUAGUAACGGCGAGCGAACCGGGAAUAGCCCAACUUGAGAU